rnacentral:rRNA from 1 species
AUGAACCCUGGCGGCGUGCCUAAUACAUGCAAGUCGAGCGAACGGACGAGAAGCUUGCUUCUCUGAUGUUAGCGACGGACGGGUGAGUAACACGUGGAUAACCUACCUAUAAGACUGGGAUAACUUCGGGAAACCGGAGCUAAUACCGGAUGAUAUUUUGAACCGCAUGGUUCAAAAGUGAAAGACGGUCUUGCUGUCACUUAUAGAUGGAUCCGCGCUGCAUUAGCUAGUUGGUAAGGUAACGGCUUACCAAGGCAACGAUGCAUAGCCGACCUGAGAGGGUGAUCGGCCACACUGGAACUGAGACACGGUCCAGACUCCUACGGGAGGCAGCAGUAGGGAAUCUUCCGCAAUGGGCGAAAGCCUGACGGAGCAACGCCGCGUGAGUGAUGAAGGUCUUCGGAUCGUAAAACUCUGUUAUUAGGGAAGAACAUAUGUGUAAGUAACUGUGCACAUCUUGACGGUACCUAAUCAGAAAGCCACGGCUAACUACGUG